rnacentral:rRNA from 1 species
AUUGAACGCUGGCGGCAUGCUUUACACAUGCAAGUCGAACGGUAACAGGCCGCAAGGUGCUGACGAGUGGCGAACGGGUGAGUAAUGCAUCGGAACGUGCCCAGUCGUGGGGGAUAACGCAGCGAAAGCUGCGCUAAUACCGCAUACGAUCUAUGGAUGAAAGCGGGGGACCGUAAGGCCUCGCGCGAUGGGAGCGGCCGAUGUCGGAUUAGGUAGUUGGUGGGGUAAAGGCUCACCAAGCCAACGAUCUGUAGCUGGUCUGAGAGGACGACCAGCCACACUGGGACUGAGACACGGCCCAGACUCCUACGGGAGGCAGCAGUGGGGAAUUUUGGACAAUGGGCGCAAGCCUGAUCCAGCAAUGCCGCGUGCAGGAAGAAGGCCUUCGGGUUGUAAACUGCUUUUGUACGGAACGAAACGGUCCUGGUUAAUACCUGGGGCUAAUGACGGUACCGUAAGAAUAAGCACCGGCUAACUACGUGCCAGCCGCCGCCGUAAAAC